AAUUAAAAGCAGAAGUGGUACCAUAGCCAGUGAGAGUUAUCUGAGGUGUGGUUAUUGCUAGAUGAAAGCUACUUUAUAUACUCAUGUAAAAGUCGAAUUUUUUAGACCAUUUUUUAGGGUCAAAUUUAUGG
rfam:Octopus bimaculoides Scaffold2770_contig_34, whole genome shotgun sequence.